rnacentral:rRNA from 1 species
AGCAGCCGCGGUAAUUCCAGCUCCAAUAGCGUAUAUUAAAGUUGUUGCAGUUAAAAAGCUCGUAGUUGAAUUUCGGGAUUUUACCGUUGGUCGGGCUAUCCAGUCUGUACUAGCGUGUAGAAUUCCUACCUUCUGGGGAACCAUCAUGUUAUUAAUUUAGCGUGGUGGGAAACCAGGACCUUUACCUUGAAAAAAUUAGAGUGUUCAAAGCAGGCUUACGUCUGAAUACAUUAGCAUGGAAUAAUAGAAUAGGACGGUGGUCCUGUUUUGUUGGUUUCUGAAUCACCGUAAUGAUUAAUAGGGAUAGUUGGGGGCAUUAGUAUUCAAUUGUCAGAGGUGAAAUUCUUGGAUUUAUUGAAGACUAACUUCUGCGAAAGCAUUUGCCAAGGAUGUUUUCAUUAAUCAAGAACGAAAGUUAGGGGAUCGAAGACGAUCAGAUACCGUCGUAGU